rfam:Ictidomys tridecemlineatus contig110842, whole genome shotgun sequence.
GGAGCGGUGAUGACACCAACAUGCCAUCUGAAUGCCAUGUGCUGAAAAACAGAGGCUGUUUCUGAGCUG